CCUACGGGAGGCAGCAGUGAGGAAUAUUGGUCAAUGGGCGCGAGCCUGAUCCAGCCAAGUAGCGUGAAGGAUUACUGCUCUUCGGGUUGUAAACUUCUUUUAUAAAGGAAUACAGUGAGGCACGUGUGCCUUUUUGUAUGUACUUUAUGAAUAAGGAUCGGCUAACUCCGUGCCAGCAGCCGCGGUAAUACGGAGGAGCCGACCUUUAUCCGGAUUUAUUGGGUUUAAAGGUGCGUAGAUGGGUUGUUAAGUCAGUUGUGAAAGUUUGCGGCUCAACCGUAAAAUUGCAAAUUAUACUGGCAGUCUUGAGUACAGUUGGGGUAGGCGGAAUUCUUGGUGUAGCGGUGAAAUGCGUAGAUAUCACGAAGAACUCCGAUGGCGAAGGCAGCUUACUAAACUGCCACUGACAUUGAUGCUCGAAAGUGAGGGUAUCAAACAGGAUUAGAUACCCCAGUAGUC
rnacentral:rRNA from 1 species